UUUCUGGGGGGGAAAUAAUUAAAAGUUUUUACUUGUGUCUACUUGUAGAUAUAAAACUGAUGGGAAAGAAAAGGAGGCGAUCCUUGAAGAAGAUGAUGACCUCUGGGUCAGAAUUCGACACCGGCAUAUUGCAGUUGUAUUAGAGGAAAUUCCCAAGCUUAUGAAGGAAAUUUCAUCAACAAAGAAAG